rnacentral:lncRNA from 1 species
CUCUUGUGAAAGGACAAUAGCAAAGUAUAAAUGUCUGUUUCCCCUUUAGGACCAUGAACUCCUUGAGGCUUUUGAACUCCUUGUUAUCUCUGUAUCCUCUACUCCUGAUACACAGCAGGAAUUCAGUCCACACCUGUGGAAUGACCAAAUGAAAUGGCAGGCUUCCGGGGCGGACAUCAGUGCCUCUCCAGAGCGUCGCUAUUCACCCCUGCCUUCUGCUUCCAGGGAGCUCACCAGCCACCGAGAAACACUGUUCCUUCCUGGCACUGCCUGAUCCUGCUCAGAGAGAGGGCUCAGCUGGAAGAUACAGCCUAAGCCAC